CCUACGGGAGGCAGCAGUGGGGAAUAUUGGACAAUGGGGGCAACCCUGAUCCAGCCAUGCCGCGUGUGUGAAGAAGGCCCUCGGGUUGUAAAGCACUUUCAGCGAGGAAGAACGCCUAGCGGUUAAUACCCGCUAGGAAAGACAUCACUCGCAGAAGAAGCACCGGCUAACUCCGUGCCAGCAGCCGCAGUAAUACGGAGGGUGCAAGCGUUAAUCGGAAUUACUGGGCGUAAAGCGCGCGUAGGUGGCUUGAUAAGCCGGUUGUGAAAGCCCCGGGCUCAACCUGGGAACGGCAUCCGGAACUGUCAAGCUAGAGUGCAGGAGAGGAAGGUAGAAUUCCCGGUGUAGCGGUGAAAUGCGUAGAGAUCGGGAGGAAUACCAGUGGCGAAGGCGGCCUUCUGGACUGACACUGACACUGAGGUGCGAAAGCGUGGGUAGCAAACAGGAUUAGAUACCCUGGUAGUCUACGCCGUAAACGAUGUCGACCAGCCGUUGGGUGCCUAGCGCACUUUGUGGCGAAGUUAACGCGAUAAGUCGACCGCCUGGGGAGUACGGCCGCAAGGUUAAAACUCAAAUGAAUUGACGGA
rnacentral:rRNA from 1 species